GUACUGCUGAAGAAUCCCAAAUUAGGACGAAACAGCUGUCCAGUAC
rfam:Trichobilharzia regenti genome assembly, scaffold: TRE_scaffold0013518